rnacentral:rRNA from 1 species
AGAGGGGGAUAACACUUGGAAACAGGUGCUAAUACCGCAUAACCAUAGUUACCGCAUGGUAACUAUGUAAAAGGUGGCUAUGCUACCGCUUUUGGAUGGGCCCGCGGCGCAUUAGCUAGUUGGUGGGGUAAAGGCUUACCAAGGCAAUGAUGCGUAGCCGAACUGAGAGGUUGAUCGGCCACAUUGGGACUGAGACACGGCCCAAACUCCUACGGGAGGCAGCAGUAGGGAAUCUUCCACAAUGGGCGAAAGCCUGAUGGAGCAACGCCGCGUGGGUGAAGAAGGUCUUCGGAUCGUAAAACCCUGUUGUUAGAGAAGAAAGUGCGUGAGAGUAACUGUUCACGUUUCGACGGUAUCUAACCAGAAAGCCACGGCUAACUACGUGCCAGCAGCCGCGGUAAUACGUAGGUGGCAAGCGUUAUCCGGAUUUAUUGGGCGUAAAGGGAACGCAGGCGGUCUUUUAAGUCUGAUGUGAAAGCCUUCGGCUUAACCGGAGUAGUGCAUUGGAAACUGGGAGACUUGAGUGCAGAAGAGGAGAGUGGAACUCCAUGUGUAGCGGUGAAAUGCGUAGAUAUAUGGAAGAACACCAGUGGCGAAAGCGGCUCUCUGGUCUGUAACUGACGCUGAGGUUCGAAAGCGUGGGUAGCAAACAGGAUUAGAUACCCUGGUAGUCCACGCCGUAAACGAU